UGCUACAGGCUUAACACAUGCAAGUCGAGGGGCAGCAUGGUCUUAGCUUGCUAAGGCCGAUGGCGACCGGCGCACGGGUGAGUAACACGUAUCCAACCUGCCGUCUACUCUUGGACAGCCUUCUGAAAGGAAGAUUAAUACAAGAUGGCAUCAUGAGUCCGCAUGUUCACAUGAUUAAAGGUAUUCCGGUAGACGAUGGGGAUGCGUUCCAUUAGAUAGUAGGCGGGGUAACGGCCCACCUAGUCUUCGAUGGAUAGGGGUUCUGAGAGGAAGGUCCCCCACAUUGGAACUGAGACACGGUCCAAACUCCUACGGGAGGCAGCAGUGAGGAAUAUUGGUCAAUGGGCGAGAGCCUGAACCAGCCAAGUAGCGUGAAGGAUGACUGCCCUAUGGGUUGUAAACUUCUUUUAUAAAGGAAUAAAGUCGGGUAUGGAUACCCGUUUGCAUGUACUUUAUGAAUAAGGAUCGGCUAACUCCGUGCCAGCAGCCGCGGUAAUACGGAGGAUCCGAGCGUUAUCCGGAUUUAUUGGGUUUAAAGGGAGCGUAGAUGGAUGUUUAAGUCAGUUGUGAAAGUUUGCGGCUCAACCGUAAAAUUGCAGUUGAUAUUGGAUAUCUUGAGUGCAGUUGAGGCAGGCGGAAUUCGUGGUGUAGCGGUGAAAUGCUUAGAUAUCACGAAGAACUCCGAUUGCGAAGGCAGCCUGCUAAGCUGCAACUGACAUUGAGGCUCGAAAGUGUGGGUAUCAAACAGGAUUAGAUACCCUGGUAGUCCACACGGUAAACGAUGAAUACUCGCUGUUUGCGAUAUACUGCAAGCGGCCAAGCGAAAGCGUUAAGUAUUCCACCUGGGGAGUACGCCGGCAACGGUGAAACUCAAAGGAAUUGACGGGGGCCCGCACAAGCGGAGGAACAUGUGGUUUAAUUCGAUGAUACGCGAGGAACCUUACCCGGGCUUAAAUUGCAGAUGAAUUACGGUGAAAGCCGUAAGCCGCAAGGCAUCUGUGAAGGUGCUGCAUGGUUGUCGUCAGCUCGUGCCGUGAGGUGUCGGCUUAAGUGCCAUAACGAGCGCAACCCUUGUUGUCAGUUACUAACAGGUUCCGCUGAGGACUCUGACAAGACUGCCAUCGUAAGAUGUGAGGAAGGUGGGGAUGACGUCAAAUCAGCACGGCCCUUACGUCCGGGGCUACACACGUGUUACAAUGGGGGGUACAGAGGGCCGCUACCACGCGAGUGGAUGCCAAUCCCCAAAACCUCUCUCAGUUCGGACUGGAGUCUGCAACCCGACUCCACGAAGCUGGAUUCGCUAGUAAUCGCGCAUCAGCCACGGCGCGGUGAAUACGUUCCCGGGCCUUGUACACACCGCCCGUCAAGCCAUGGGAGCCGGGGGUACCUGAAGUGCGUAACCGCGAGGAGCGCCCUAGGGUAAAACUGGUGACUGGG
rnacentral:rRNA from 1 species